AUUUAAGUAGUUUAUAAAAAAAUAUUGAUUUGUGGAGUCAAUGAAGUAUAUGUAUACCUUAAAUC
rnacentral:tRNA from 1 species